rnacentral:ncRNA from 1 species
UUAUUUAAUUUAUUAUAAAUUUAUUUUACAUGUAAAUUUUAGUAUUAAAUUUUAAUUAUUUUAAUAAUAAUUAAUUUAAAAUUACAGUAAUUAAAAUUAAAAAUUUAAGAAAUUAAGAUUUAGUAAUAUUUAAAUUAAUAACUAAUUUUGUGCCAGCAGUUGCGGUUAAACAAAAGUUAAAUUAAAUUAUUUCAGUAUAUAAUAAAUAAUAUAUAAUUAAAUAAAAUAUUAAAUUAUUAAGUGAAAUUUUAAUUUAAUUAAAAUUUAUAUUAAAAUUAUGAUUUAAUAAAUUUUAUUUUAAACUAGGAUUAGAUACCCUAUUAUUAAAAAUUUAAUUUAAAAUACUAAAAUAGUAAUUAAGAUAUUAUUGAAACUUAAAUAAUAUGGCGGUAUUUUAGUUCAUUUAGAGGAAUCUGUCUAUUAAUUGAUAAUCCACGAAUAAAUUUACUUAAUUUAUAAUUUUGUAUAUCAUUGUUAAAAAAAUAUUUUUAAAUAAUAAUAAUAUUUUAAAAUUUAAAAUAAAAUUUAAUUCAGAUCAAGAUGCAGAUUAUAAUUAAGUUUAAGAUGGAUUACAAUAAAUUUAUUUAAAUGAAUAGAAUUUUGUAAAAUUUAAUUGAAGGUGGAUUUAAAUGUAAUUUUAAUUAAUUUAUUAAAAUGAUUAAAAAUUAAAAUAUGUACAUAUUGCCCGUCACUUUCAUUUAAAAAUUGAAAUAAGUCGUAACAAAGUAGAGGUACUGGAAAGUGUUUCUAGAAUGAA